rnacentral:lncRNA from 1 species
AAGGAUUCCUGAAUAAGAUAGGUGGGAUUUCAAUGGUGGAAGGAAACAGGAGAUUAUUCCAUCCCAUCUUGGUAGGAAGCAAGAGCUAAGAGAGAAGUAUGCAUUUGCAACACAUGAUUUUCUUUUUGGAGUGGGGGAAUGGAGUGUCAUGGGAAAAUGGGGCCAAACUGGUGGGAGCUUUGAAAAUCAAGCAGAUGAAUGUCCAACAAUGUCACAGUCAAAACGAAGUUGUCAUGAGGUUUGAGCAAUGAAGUGACAUGAAAUAUUAGGUUGGCAAAAAAAAAUUGUUUGGUUUUUUUCUGUAGCAUCAUAUGGAAAAAGUCAGACAAACUUUUUGGCCAACACAAUACUUUAAGAAAGAGUAUUAAAGUGAAAAUAGAACCAGUUGAGGACAGAGCCUGAGAGGCCAGGGAGUUAACAGUGAUCCAGACACAAUGUGACAGAAUGGAAAUAGGAAAAUAAUACCACCAAAUAUUUCUUGACACCUACCUGAUGUGAGCUCUUUUCUGGGUGCUGAAAAUACAGGAUUGACUAAGACUUGUCCUUAUCUUCAAGGAGCUCACAGUCUACUGAAGACAGAGACAAGUGUGCAGCGGGAGUCAAAAUAGCAGGAUGCGAAUGGCAAGGAAAUAUGUGUGCAAAGUAAAGGAACAAGUAAUGGCUGCGAUGGAAAGACUUCAUAAAAGAGGUGACAGUGGAAGUGAAUGUGGCAGUAUGCUGGAAGCCCUGCCUGGGCUUGGUGACAGAUGGGACCUGGGCGUUGAGGAAGACAGAAGAGUUGAAGCUCGUCAUGGGAAUAGAAAUAGACAUUUUGAAGGAAGACUCCAAGACAGUCACCAUGAAUUCAGUUCCCAGUUAGCUGAGGACAACAUGACGGUCAAAGACGGAUUUUCGCUGCUCUUGAACUUGAAGCUUCCAACGCUGCUGGGCAUACUCGACCUUAUUUAG